UGGUCGGGGAGAGUUUACUUUCGAGAGUUCACACCGCCAGUCAACUGUGUGUGUGACAACAGCUGUACUACUGGGCCGGGGAGAGGCUGCGUGUGUGGUGGACGCGCGUCCCACAGGCAGACCUCAGGCUUUCCAUUCCCUCUCAGAGAUGCUGGGAUGAGUUCCAGCACAACUGUGAAACAGAUGAAGAACUUAGGAAAAGAAUAAACAUACCUUCGGAGAAAACUUCAGAGGCACCCGACAACAAAGGCGGAUGAUGAUUAUGUAGAGAUGACUGAAGAUGAUCAUAGGUGGAGGCAGGACAGGUCUAUCAUGGAAUGUCAUGAUCAGCUGAUAUCGUUGGAAUUUCCAAACUUGGUUAGAUAUGGACUUCACUUCAAAGAAGGAGACUGCAAUCUAAACAGACAAGGAAAGGAAAGCAACUGGACGAGAAGUUUCCAUUGUUUCCAUUUUACAGAUGGAGACUGAAGCACAGAGAAAGCAAUUCAUCCAAGUCAAACAGGGCAUCUGCUAGAUUGUGAGUUCCCCGAGGCAGGGAUCAUGUUUCUUGUUAUGUGUAUGUACAAUAGAUGAAGCACAAUAAGACCCUCGUCCACAACUAAGGUUCCUAAAUGUUACCCUAAUGCAAAUAAAUAAUAGUAUAGUAGAGCUGGAACUGAACCCAGGUUUUCUGAGUCCCAGUAUAGUUCUUUGAACUGCUAGAGCUUGCUUCCUCUCCAGUGAAAAAUCACUACAUUGAAUAGCAUUUGCUUGGGGCUGAAUUUUUAGAGAAGCUUGCCCCAGUUUCUGUUCAGAGUAAGGAUUGAGCACAAAUUGCAUAAGAAUCACAAGAUUUGGCAUUUAUUUAACACACUAGGGUUUCAGAACUAAGCAGCAUAAAAAUCUAGGGAAUGAAGAUUAAAAGGAUUUUCUGCCCUUUAGACCUCUCUUCUGACUAAGGAUGUCAAAUAGUGACUAAUCGACUAAUCGAAUAGUCGAUGCAUCGACUAUUCGAUUAGUCAAUAGGGCGAUUCUGCCCUUGAAGUGUAGCUGAUCCUAGGCUCCAUGCGGUGCUGCCACUUUGAAAUGUCACAUGCAUCCUGACACUGGGCUCCCCGCAGCAUUUCAAGUGGCAGUCCCACAUGGAGGCCAACGUCAGUGGGGGAGUCUCCAGCUAAUCCUGGGCUCCACAUGGCGCUGCCAUUUUGAAAUGCUGCAUGAAGCCUGGGGAAAACCCAGCUGGCCCUGGGCUGCACACGGCGUUUCAAAGCAGCAGCACCAUAUGGAGCCCAGGGUCUGGCCUCAAGCUUCAAGUGGUGCUGCCCCUUUGAACUAUCUCCUCCUCUUCCCCCCCUUGCUACCUCUUUCUGAUGGAGGUAGCAAGUGGGGGGGAGGGGCAGGAAGUGACUAAUCCACUAGCAUUUCGACUAUCUGUUAAGCAUUUGCUUAUUGGAUAGUUGACUAGUCCUUCACUUCCAUAUUUCGGAACACUCACUGAACCUUACUGCCUAUUCUUGGCUUUUUCUGAGCGCUAGGGUGGAGAAUUGGCCUCAGGUUUCUUCCCCUGGCAUACUUGUUCCUCUGCAGGCCCUGGCUCAAGUCCUGUCUCAUGAGCCUGGCUCUUCCCUGUAAUUUCAACUACCAGAUUUCUCUCCACCCUCUUUUAAGGCCCAAGUGACCAUUAAGCUAGUUAACAGCCACCCACAAAAUAACUGCUCAAAGGUGGAUCUGGACUGGCUUGUUCUCCUUUGCAGAGCCUGUCACAGGUCAAUUAGUUGCUGACUUCCCUGAAAGGGACACAGGGCAACCCAUUGAUUGGGUGUCUGAUACCUGAGACUGAUGCAGGCAAAAAAUUCCCCACCGAAAUGAACAGAUACAGAAAAUGUGGCUCACAAUCCUCUUCCCAAAAAGCAAGGUAUGUUUUAAUCACAAAGGCAGGCAGACAUACCGAUGCUAACUUCAGUCUAACUAGCACAGUGCCAAGAGUAGUGAAAAUGUGGCAGUAUGGGUUUGCUGUCCUAGUACAAGCCUGCCAUGGACCCUAGUACUACUUGGAUUGUUAGCUGAUGUUGAAGCCUGUGUCGCCUGCCAUGUCUUCCUUAGUACUGUUACUUGUGCUAGCUAGGUCCAAACUAGCAUGGAUAGACCCACUUGGCUACAGUCUCACCUUUGCUUGCCGCAUAAACCCACCCUUAGUGUCUGUUGGACAAGUGUUAAACAUGCAAGCACCAGAAUUCAGGUCCCACAUCCCCCUGCAAGCAGGGAUCGGCAUACUUAGGCAUAUGAAACAGGAGGCAUUUUGGAAGAACAAAUAGAGGAGAUAAAUACAGACUUUGCCAUUGUAAAGGGAUAGGAGAUGUUCUUUGUCUGCAAGAAAAGAGCUGCACCUCUUUCAACCUAAUGCUCUGCCUGACUGCCUUCCCUCAGUCAACAUCAUAGAGAUGUGGCAUCACUACACUAGCCACAGAAUCAGGUGUAGCAGAGAAGUCAAUUAUCCCAAAUUUCAUACUUUUCACUACCUUCUGCAUCUGAUCCUCCCAUAAUGUGUAUUUUUAAAGUGUAGCACAUCUGGUUACCAGCAGGUAGCUAGGAGAGAGGGUUUGGUAUUUCAGUUCCACUCUCACCUCUAAAAAUAACCACAGCUAGAAAAGAAAAAAACCCAAUAAUGGAAAUGGGAAAAGCUAGACUUAGCCAGUUAAAACUGCUGUUAAAAACAAAGCUGUUAAAAUGUCAUUGAUGUUUGAAAGUGGCUGCUUCAGAUUUGUAACCAGGAAGAAUUAAUUGGAAAUCUACCCUGUGACACAAGGGAGAGUAUAUUCAUAGGAUGAAAAUAUGAAAAAAAUCCACAGCUGCAAUUAACCAAGUGGAAACAUUAAUUGUAUGCUAAAACCAACAGACUAUAACCCCAUGAGUACAAGUGCUAUUGAUUGUUGAUGGAUGAAUAAAUUUAUGAAUCCUA